rnacentral:rRNA from 1 species
CAGCAGUAGCCGCGGUAAUGCGUAGGGUGCGAGCGUUAAUCGGAAUUACUGGGCGUAAAGCGUGCGUAGGCGGUUUGUUAAGUCUGUUGUGAAAUCCCCGGGCUCAACCUGGGAAUGGCAAUGGAUACUGGCAAGCUAGAGUGUGUCAGAGGAUGGUGGAAUUCCAGGUGUAGCGGUGAAAUGCGUAGAGAUCGGGAGGAACAUCAGUGGCGAAGGCGGCCAUCUGGGACAACACUGACGCUGAGGCACGAAAGCGUGGGGAGCAAACAGGAUUAGAUACCCGUGUAGUCCCUGUCUCUUAUAC